AAAGGAUAGAGAGUGUUGUUAACUCUGAAGGUUCAGAAGAACAUUCAAAACAUGAGGACGACCAUGAUCACCACCAUGAGCAUCAUCAUCACCACGAACAUGAUCAUGAAAACGGACAUCAUGGUGAUCACCAUGGUCAUGAUCACCAUGCUCAUGACCACACUCAUGAUCCUGGUGUUUCUUCUGUAAGCAUUGUCUGUGAAGGGACCCUAAAUCUGGAUAAGGCUAAUAUGUGGUUAGGUACUUUACUGAUGGAGCGCAGUGAUGACAUAUAUCGCAUGAAGGGUCUCUUAUCUGUUGAUGGAAUGGAUGAGAGAUAUGUG
rnacentral:misc_RNA from 1 species